GGGAAGAUGGCUCAGUGGUAAAGCGCUUGCCUUGCAUGCAUGAGGCCCUGGGUUCAAUUCCCCAGUACCA
rnacentral:tRNA from 1 species